GCUGAUCAGACGAUGGUUCUGGGAUGAAGAAGCUGGAAGAUCCCCAUGCUGCUACCAGGGAACCCGUGCCGGAGCUUUUUAAGAGUUGACGACAGGAAAACUCCUGCAAAAAAUGGAUAUAAAACGAAGGAGGGGAAAUUGCCUUUCCCUGUCCCAAGGACUUCAGAUUUCACCACCACUACUUAGGGAUGAAGAGCAUCUGGAGAAUUACAGGUGCCCCCACCACUGCUAGAAAAGAUCAAAGUAAGCACACCUGCAAAAGUCUUACAAAUGCCUCCUAUCGUGCUGGGAUAAAGAAACUGGCUAAAUGCCCUUCAUUUUCUGAGAUGAGGCCUUAAAUCUCAAGCCUUGUUUCAUUUUCUAUGCCAUUUUGAGCAGUAACAUAGGAAAGUGACACCUUCUUCAGUACACUGGAAGUUCAAGUUCUUUUUGAAGAACUUUUAAAUGGGAUUUAAGGAGAACAUUCUUUUCUAAUAGAUUAACAUGUGUAAUUGAGGCUGAACUUAAGAACAAAGAUACUAAGCCUGCAGGAUUUGGCAGAAGAAAGGAAUUCCUUUUUUUGGAGACCAAAAUCAUUAACACAACAUUCAACAAUUGUGCUUAUUAUUCCAUGAAGAUCUAGAGUGACAAUAAUUACAGAUGGAGCCAGAAUUUCUGAAUUUUUUUUCUAGCCUUCUAAAUUCAAGGAUUCAGGAACUUUGUCCAAUUUGUUAUGGAAAGAUAAAACAACUCUAAACAACCACA